rnacentral:tRNA from 1 species
GGCCCUGUGGCCUAAUGGAUAAGGCGUCGGAUUCCGGAUCCGAAGACUGCAGGUUCGAGUCCUGCCAGGGUCG